CUGUCUUGAGCUAUAAUCUAUCUCAUUGAAGUAACUCGGACUAUCUUUGAUCGGACUUUACUGGACUUUAUCUUGCACUAAUCAUUAAUCACUUUAUUCCCUUUGUCAUGUACCUGUACUCUGUGGAUGGCUCGAUUGUAAUCAUGUAUUGCCUUUUCGCUGAUGGGUUAGCAUGCAAAAAAAGCUUUUCACUGUACCUCAUUCCAGCAAUGGAGGUAGCCAAGGAUGAAUAGUUCAGUGUAGGAAUGGGAGCUGAAUUCACAUGGCUAGCAACGGAGAGUUUCAGGUGGUCAUGGUGGACAGAGUUCAGAUGCUUGGCAGAGCAGUCGCCUCGUCUGUACUUGGACUGAACAAUGUAGAGGAGGUCACAUCAUCGGUACCAAAUGCAAUAGGUGGGGUUGGUAAUGGUGCAGGUAAUCUCUGUUCAGCUAGAAGGACUGUUUAGGUUCCUGGAUGGAGAUGAAGGUGGAGGUGUAGAUUUGGGUAUUCCAUUUCCUCUGGUUCCAGGGGAAACUGUCUGAGGAGAGAGAGGUGGGAGUGGGGAGGGAUGAGUGAACCAGGGAGUCAUGGAGAGAGUAGUCCAUGGGGAAAGCAGAAAGGGGUAGCAAGGGAUGGCGGUUCGAUCGCAUACAAAAACCUAUUGGUUGGAGCAGCAAUGCAGCUGGUAGUGCCGCUGCAUCAAUGCUCCAGUGCCCAGAUUUGAUUCUGAACUUCAGCGCAGUCUAUACGGAUUUGGUAUGUUCUCUCUGUGAGGAUUUCUACUGAGUCCUCUGGUUUCCUCCCACAUCUCUGAGUUCUACUGGCUGGUAGGUGAAUUGGCAACCUCCUAAAGGGGCUGUUCCACUUGGGUGACCUAAUCGGCGAGUUUAGAAGAGUUUGAAAAAAUGACAUGUUGAAGACCUCCUUCAACUAUGUAGAAGACCUCCUUCGACCUCGUUGAAGACCAGCUUCGACUAGCUGUGGCUAACUUCGGGAAAAUUGGACACCUUCGACUGCCUUCGAUUACCUUUGACUACCCUCGAUUACCUACGACUAACAUACCGACCUACUAUAAUCUACUACUACGACUAAACCUACGAGUAAAAAAAGUAUUGAUUUGUUACUUGGCGACCUUUUUUUACUCGCAGGCAUUUUUUAACAUAUUGAAAAAAUGCCGCAACCUAGCUGAGUCCUCGAGUAAGCAGAGACCACUCUCAAGCAUGAAGGAGAGUUACGAAGACCUCCUAUGACCUCGUGCCAACCAUGCUGUGAGAAUGAGUCGAGGGCAAAUUCACCAGAACUCGCCAGAACAAGUGGGACAGGCCCUUCCUUAAGUGUCAUCUUUUAGUUUUUUAGUUUUAGUUUUAGAUACAUCGUGGAAACGGGCCCUACGGCCCACCGAGUCUGCACUGACCAGCGAUCCCCGCACAUUUUCUUGCACUUUAACACCAUCCUAUACACAUUAGAAACAAUUUACACUCAUACCAAGCCAAUUUACCUGCGUACUUGUACGUCUUUGGAGUGUGGGAGGAAAACGAAGAUCUCAGAGAAAACCCACACGGUCAUGGGGAGAGCGUACAAACUCCGUACAGACAUCACCCGUAGUUGAGCUCAAACCUGGGUCUCCGGCACUGCAACAACUCUACUGCUGCACCACCAUGAACAGAGAUCAUCUGCACCUCAGUACUGCUGAUGUGGCUUCUUCUACAUCAGUGAGUCCAUGCUCAGACUAGUGUAGGUGUGUGACACGUGGAUCAGGGUGGAAAUAACGGACUUGUGAAUGAGUUUAGGUUACAGGGAAAUAUAUAGCAAUUGGGAUCAAUGGGAGUGCUCAUGAAUUGGUAGAGAUUCAAUGAGCUGACGGCUUCCUUGAGUUCAUAGGAAUAUAUGAAAAAGACAAAAUAUAAAUUUGAAAUAAUUCAAUUUCAGUGUCACCAAUUUACUCACUGAGAUCAAUAUAUAUUUAGUAUGCAACUGCAAUGAAAUGUUGAAAUAUCCUUCUUCUGUUCAUUUUUACACAGUGUUUUGCAGUUGGUAUCUGAGGAAACCACAAUUCUAUCAAUGCAUAGAAUCGCAUAUGUGUUAACACUGAAGAGAAGCAAUUUUGUAGAAAAUAUACUUUAUACUUGGUAACCCACUAAACACAACAUAAAUAAUUGGCAUUUUUCGUUUGGAAGUGCUACACCUGAGAAAGAAUUACACCGAGAUAUUUCGACUUUUCCUCUUUCCUGUUUAGCUUGGCAAAAACAAUUCCACCUCAGGUAGCUGCAAGUGCAGUUGAGGGGUUAGAAGACACGUGGGGCCUCAGUGAAAAAUGGGAGUAAAUGCCUCAUUUCUCUCAGCAACCUUGUGUUAAGUGCUGGGUAAGAAGCCAGAACUGGUGUGGAAAAGGACGUGAAUUCAGUAUCAAAUCAAGUACAGAGAAAGAAAUGUAGGGAGGGGAAAAUGAAUGAAAUGGAUAAAUAGGAAACAGGAAAAAUAGGAAAAAAAAUAUUUUCAUCAAUUUUUAAAGCCUCCAAGAAUAAUACUUGCUAACAGAACUCCACAAUUUCCCAUUUUGCCUCUCAGGCAUUGAUUGGCAUUGCAGGAACUUGUAUCUCCUCAUUAGCACAGUUCUGAUUCAGAUAUUAACUGCACUAUUUUUUUUAAUAGUGUAAUUUUUGCACUAAUGCUGUCAUAUCUUGAAAUGUGCUGGGAAGUGAGGGCAUGCUGCUAUUUAUGUGCGGCUGACAGUGGAGCAGUCCAAAUCAUUUGGCAACGUGUGGCGAUUCACACUUACAAGUUAUCUCUUCCUCCUCACAAAUUGCUUUGUGAUUAAUAUGCUGAUAACAAUGCCCAUUAGGAAAAAAAUUGCCACUGUUUUCACAAAUUCCAGCCCAACAAGUUUUCAGACCAUCAGCACUUCAGCGAGUACAUCAAAUCAGUUGAAAACUGACGGUGAUGCCUCAAGCUACGAUCUUCAGGCUCACAGCAGUUCAUCACACAUUAAUCUUCAAUUACCUAUUAUCCCGGUAUAUUAAUUUAUUAGAAUAUUUUUAUGUUUGCAAUCUCCACUAGAAGUUUUGAUUUUUUUUUUUGUUAUUCAUAAUCUAGCAACUCAUCCAUAAAGCAGGCAAUUUUUGAAGGUGUUUAAAACAUGUUAAAAACACAUUAUCCUAUGUGAUUUUUUUCUCAUUUCUGAAUAUGGCAGUCUGCUUUGUUGUGUCAAGACAUUAUCAUUAAACUGUGUUCAAGUAACGUGUAGCUUUAAUGAUUUCUUGUAUUAUUUUGAUUAGAUCUCUUCAUGCCUUGGAGGGGUACCACCAUUGUUCUUCAAUCUCCGAUUUAAUCAAAUGCCACUGUCUGAGAAAAUGAUCAACAAAAGGCUGUUUCCAAUUUCCUUUCAGCCCAAUAUUGCACUUCGGUGAAAAGUAGUGCUGGUCACGUCACGGCAUUUUACUAAGACAAGGACUGGGGAGCAGUGUGAAGACCACAACAGAAUGACAUUUCUGCCCUCUUUCCCUGGACUAGGCUGUCCUGUCAGGAUCAGUGACAAGAGACUGAAGAGUUUUGUUGUUCCUCGCUUGACAGGCCUAUAUUUGUACUAGACACAUCUUUUGUUGGCAGCAGGUUCCACCACAGACAGGGAUCAGGGAGAACACCAUUAUUCUCUGGGUACUCUUAAGAUUAUGUUACACAGUGCUGUAACACGACCCCCUCACCUCCUUGAUUAUUUGAUGAAUUCUUCAGGACUAAUUGACAGGAAGCCUUUCUUUCUUGAUUUGUUCCCAUUAGAUGUCCAUGUGCCCUUGAAUAAACAGCAGAUAAAAGUAAGUUGCACAGCCCGAAAUCCUUCACUGAAAGGACAUGAUUAACUGGGAUUGUGACAAGAAGCAUAUAAAAUCAAAGAGACAAACGGAGAAACAACAUGCAUCCUUUCUGAAAGGAAGAAUACAAUAAUUGUUCUAACGUGAGAUUCCAUAAAUUCCAGUUGGGUAAAUUGGUAUUACUGUAUUUUAUGUAUCAUGUUCAUUCUGGUAAUUAUAUAUUGUUCAGCAGCUUUAUUAGGAUAAUUCUACUAGGAUGUAUAAUGUUGCAGUAUAGGUUUUCACUACAUCUAAAUAAUGGACCUUUGUGGUCUGAGGCCCUAAUUUGCCCUAUGUGUCAGUUCUGUGCUGACGUGCAGUGCUUUCAAGGGCCUUUCUAAUCAUUAGCUUGUUGGUGGCUCCUCUGAAUUUACUUGUGAACACUACUCAAUACUGGGGAUACAGAGAUCAGCUGGCUAAAUUAAGUUUGAUUACAGAGGACAAGGUCAUGUGUUGAAUGGACACAGGUCGAAAGGAGGCGUCACUGCAGGUUGUUUUUCUUUAAAUGCGGCCCUGGAUUAUUAUGCUUUGCAUUGUAAAAAAUAUUUUGUUUAUCCGCAGUUAAAAAAUAACUUUAGUGAUAGGAAAAUAAUCACUUGUACAAGAAUUCAUGCAUGUGGCUAAAUGUGCACCACUGAUAUAUUCUCAUUUUCAAUACAGUGUCAUGUUUUUGUGUUCUGUGGUCAUUACUGAAUACUCAUUUGAUCGAGUGAUUUCCGAUACGUUGUCAAGAUAAAUUACGUUCACUUAAUUAGAUGUACAGGAAGUAUAGCUGAAGCAGGGACAAGUAUUAAUUUAGGACUUUGCAGAAACUGACACUCCAUCUUAUGACCCUGAGGCUGUAUUAUUUGAGAUAGCCCUUGAUGGAAGGAAGUCUGUCUCCAUAGCAAUUACCCAAGUCUUUUAUCAGUCAUUUCUGGGAAGAAAAUUAGAGCAAUUGUGUCAGGAUAGUCAUAUGGGCAGAAAUUGCACACUCAU